CUCUCUCUGUGUGUGUGUGUGAGUACAACUGUCACACAUUCUUCAGCUCUGUAUUUCUUCAAGCUGUACUCUGCUGCUUCUUGCCUUCGGGCGUCUUUGUUCUAGCUAUUGUGACAGCGCUGCUGAUUUCCACCACACCAGCGCCUCAAUUGGUACACUCUGCAAACAUCUCAACAAUCACUCGUCGUCUACGUUACCGGCAGGGAAGAAAUCGAAUCUUUAGCUGUCACUUGCUCUGCGCUGUACACCCAGCAUUCCGUAUGCCGAACAAAGUGUUUUAAGUGCACUAAGAACAUUGCGGGAAAAAAAUUAGCGUGUCCGGUUUGUUUUAAGUGUUUUCAUCCCGGUUGUAAUACUACGCUAAUCGUCAAGUAUCAUACACGUUUCUUUUAAAAAUAGGUAAAACAUGUAUCAUCUAGAAAAAUCAAGUAAAUAAAAACUUCUACAGUAA